rnacentral:tRNA from 1 species
GCUGUGGUGGUAUAGUGGUCAGCAUAUUUGCCUAGUAAGCAAGAAGACCUGGGUUUGAGUCCCAGCCGCAGCA